UACGGAGGGGGCUAGCGUUGUUCGGAAUUACUGGGCGUAAAGCGCACGUAGGCGGCUUUGCAAGUCAGAGGUGAAAGCCCGGGGCUCAACCCCGGAAUUGCCUUUAAGACUGCAUCGCUCGAAUUGUGGAGAGGUAAGUGGAAUUCCGAGUGUAGAGGUGAAAUUCGUAGAUAUUCGGAGGAACACCAGUGGCGAAGGCGACUUACUGGACACAUAUUGACGCUGAGGUGCGAAAGCGUGGGGAGCAAACAGG
rnacentral:rRNA from 1 species